UUUGUUUUGACAACGUCUGCAGGAUGUGUGAUGACUGAUGCACAAAUGCCAGCUACGAUUCCACAACAAAAAUGAGUGGAAGUCACAUGACUGUAGUGUGGAAGUUCUGGAAAACAAUUAAUAUGAUUUUCAUAUUUGCGAAGUGUUUGUUGUAAAUCUUACCUGUGGAUACUGUGUUUUUGAGUUGGGUAUAGAACAUGAGGUAGAGGCCACUGUAGGGCGCAUCGCGAAGUAAAGUUGGUACGAGGCCACUUGAAAGACCUUUCACGCCUUCGUAUUUGUAAAUUAUUCUCAGCGCCUCACCGAUGCUGUUAUAUUUGUACACGCCGCUCUGAAAGUAAAAAAAUAUAUAUAUUUGAGAUUGA